rnacentral:rRNA from 1 species
AGUUCGGAUUGAAGGCUGAAAUUCGCCUUCAUGAAGCUGGAAUCGCUAGUAAUCGCGGAUCAGCAUGCCGCGGUGAAUACGUUCCCGGGUCUUGUACACACCGCCCGUCACACCAUGGGAGCCGGAAAUGCCCGAAGCCUGUGACCCAACCCAAUAGGGAGGGAGCAGUCGAAGGUGGAGCCGGUAACUGGGGUGAAGUCGUAACAAGGUAGC